rnacentral:misc_RNA from 1 species
GAUGAAGAACGCAGCGAAAUGCGAUAAGUAAUGUGAAUUGCAGAAUUCAGUGAAUCAUCGAAUCUUUGAACGCACAUUGCGCCCGCCAGUAUUCUGGCGGGCAUGCCUGUCCGAGCGUCAUUUCAACCCUCGCGCCCAUCUGGGCUGCGGUGUUGGGGACCGGCCUGCCCCCCCGGGGCGCGCCGCCUCCCAAAUUCAGUGGCGGUCUCGCUGCAGCCUCCCUUGCGUAGUAGCACACCUCGCACCGGAGCGCAGCGCGGCCACGCCGUAAAACCCCCGACCCCCAUGAGUUUGACCUCGGAUCAGGUAGGAAUACCCGCUGAACUUAAGCAUAUCAAUAAGCGGAGGA